UGACCCGCAACGGCGUCGCGACGAUCUGCUGCCCGAUCAGUCCCUACAAGGAAACGCGCGACGCCAACCGGGAGCUGAUCGGCGACUUCGUCGAGGUCUACGUGCAUGCGACGGUCGAGGAGAUCGCCGCAAACCGCGACCCCAAGGGCCUCUACAAGAAGGCGCUCGCGGGCGAGAUCACCGGCUUCACCGGCGUGGACGACCCCUACGAGGUGCCCGAGAACCCCGAGCUGGUCGUGGACACGCUGCAGGAGUCCCCCGAGGAGUCGCUCCAACACGUGCUCACGACCCUGCUGAAGCUCGGCUACCUCGAUUCCGACGAGGUCAUGAUCGAGGGCGACCGGGUGCACUCCGGGCAGACGGACCUCCGGGUGCACGACACCGGCCACGUGAUGAAGGAGUCCUGAUCGCGCUCACGCGGUUCGUGCGAUCAGCUCCAGGUACGCGCUGAGGUACUGCGGGGGGAGGAACCGCUCUCGGACGCGCUGCUUCGCGGCCCAGCCGAGCGCGUCGGCCCGCUGUCCGUCGACGCACAGCGAUGCGACCGCAGUGGCGAACGCCGGCAGGUCGCGCGGAUCGACCAGGAGGCCCUGCACCCCGUCGUCGAUCUGAUCGACGAUGCCGCCGAUGCGACCCGCGACGAUCGGUCGCUCCUUCCACAUCGCCUCGGUCACCGUCAACCCGAACCCCUCGGCCAGGCUCUUCUGGACGACGACGUUGGCCCGACGCUGCAGCGCGUUGACGAUGAUCGCGUUCUCGUCGACGUCGGCGGUCGGCAGGUUCGCGAUGUGGAUCCGCUCCCGCAGGUGCGACGGCUGGGAGAGCCACGCGUCGCGGAGCUCCGUCAGCACCGACCCGGCUUCGGGAUCGUCUGCCACCGAGGACGGGGAGGGGCCCGCGAGGAUCAGAUGCGCAUGGGCGAGCCCGGGCUCGUCGGCGAAGCCUCGCAACACGCCGACGGGAUCCUUGAGACGGUCCCAGCGCGAGACCUGCGUGACGAUCGUCGCGCCGGACGGCACGGGCGCGAGCUCGAGCAUGUCCGCGCGUCGGACGACGCGCUCGGUCGUGCCGUCGCGUCGCUCGAACACCGCCUCGUGUUCGGGCGCACCGUCCGCCAAUCCCGUCAGCCGCAUGAUGGUGUCGCAGCGAUCCGGCGUGAGGUCGAUGUUCUUGAGGGACAGCGGAUCGAUGCACGGCGGGAUCAGCGCGACGCGGGUCGGGUCGAGCCCCUCCCACACGUACGCCUGCCGGGUGAAGGUGUGCGCGGCGGCGCGCUGCGCGUACGGAAGCAGGAACUCCCACGCCGAGCGGGUGAUGUCGUUCGUGGUGUCGGCGCCCACGUGGCACGUCCACACGACCUGUGCGCCGCGGUCGACCAGGCCAGGCACUAGGCCGAGCGGCUGUGGAUCGUGCACCACGACGACGUCGCCGGGCCGCACGAACCCGAUGGCCUGCUCCAGGUUCCCUGCGGACACGGCCUCGUAGUGGGCGCGCUCGUCGUCCCCGAGCGGACCCAGGUCGCCCAGGUCACCGUGGAGUCGGUUGUGGAUCCGUUUCGUGAUCUGGAAGAACGGCGGGUCGCCCUCGAAGACGAGCCAUCGCACGUCGAUCCCCGAGGAGGCCAGAUAGCCGAGGUUGGACCGGAGCAGCUCGGCGACGCCGCCACCCUCGGCGGUCGAGUUGACGUGCACGAGCCUGCGAUCGCGCAACAGGUGGCUGGCGUGGGCCACCACCGCACGAACCGUUCGGCCUCUCCGUCGCCGAGGCCUCGCAGCAGCUGGCUGGUGGAGCGAGCGAGGAUCGCUGUCUCGAACACAGAUCGCGG
rnacentral:misc_RNA from 1 species